rnacentral:tmRNA from 1 species
GGGGGCGUAACGGUUUCGACGGAGACUGUUUGUGGGAGUGGUUGCAAGCCGAGGCGCACGGACCUCGAAAACCCCGUGCAACUGCAAAAUUAACUGCAGACACAGAACUCGCUCUCGCUGCCUAAUUUAAGGUAGCGCGCUCCCUCUGGUGGUGUCUGCCUGCCGGAGUGUGGGCGUCGACAAGCAGACUCGCCGCUCGAUGUGGCCCGCAUCGAGUGGUCAGAAUUUAUGGGCUGGCCCUUUCAGAACGUUUGCCAAAAGAUGUUCUGAGGUGGGGCGAGACAGGUUGUUCUCCUCCUUUGAGCGGGACAACCGAAACAUUUUGGCUAAGCUUGUAGAGACCACUCUGGCAAAGUCUUCGGACGUGGGUUCGACUCCCACCGCCUCCACCA